rnacentral:rRNA from 1 species
GAUGAACGCUAGCGAUAGGCUUAACACAUGCAAGUCGAGGGACCGGCGCACGGGUGCGUAACGCGUAUGCAACUUGCCUCACAGAGGGGGAUAACCCGUCGAAAGACGGACUAAUACCACGUACUGUGAGAUAGGCAUGCGUGCCAUUAGCUGGUUGGUAAAGUAACGGCUCACCAAGGCAACGAUGGGUAGGGGAACUGAGAGGUUGAACCCCCACACUGGUACGGAGACACGGACCAGACUGCUACGGGAGGCAGCAGUGAGGAAUAUUGGUCAAUGGGCGAGAGCCGGAACCAGCCAAGUCGCGUGAAGGAUGACUGUUUAUGGAUUGUAAACUUCUUUUGUAGGUGAAUAUGUACCCUACGAAUAAGCAUCGGCUAACUCCGUGCCAGCCGCCGCGGUAAUUC